GAAUAUUGCCCAAUGGGGGAAACCCUGAGGCAGCAACGCCGCGUGAACGAAGAAGGCCUUCGGGUUGUAAAGUUCUUUUCUUAAGGAAGAUCGUGACGGUACUUAAGGAAUAAGCUCCGGCUAACUACGUGCCAGCAGCCGCGGUAAAACGUAGGGGGCGAGCGUUAUCCGGAUUUACUGGGCGUAAAGAGCGCGUAGGCGGUUUGGCAAGUUAAGCGUGAAAGCUCCCGGCUUAACUGGGAGAGGUCGUUUAAGACUGUCAAGCUCGAGGUUGAAAGAGGAGCGUGGAAUUCCCGGUGUAGUGGUGGAAUGCGUAGAUAUCGGGAGGAACACCAGUGGCGAAAGCGACGCUCUGGUUCAGACCUGACGUUGAGGCGCGAAAGCGUGGGGAGCGAACGGG
rnacentral:rRNA from 1 species